AACGAACGCUGGCGGCAUGCCUAACACAUGCAAGUCGAACGAGAUCUUCGGGUCUAGUGGCGCACGGGUGCGUAACGCGUGGGAAUCUGCCCUUUGGUUCGGAAUAACAGUUGGAAACGACUGCUAAUACCGGAUGAUGACGAAAGUCCAAAGAUUUGUCGCCAGAGGAUGAGCCCGCGUAGGAUUAGCUAGUUGGUGUGGUAAAGGCGCACCAAGGCGACGAUCCUUAGCUGGUCUGAGAGGAUGAUCAGCCACACUGGGACUGAGAGACGGCCCAGACUCCUACGGGAGGAAGCAGUGGGGAAUAUUGGACAAUGGGCGAAGGCCUGAUCCAGCAAUGCCACGUGAGUGAUGAAGGCCUUAGGGUUGUAAAGCUCUUUUACCCGGGAUGAUAAUGACAGUACCGGGAGAAUAAGCUCCGGCUAACUCCGUGCCAGCCGCCGCAGUAA
rnacentral:rRNA from 1 species